UCAAAGGCAUCAAAGACAUUUAUCUCCUUGCAAAAGAUAUUUUAUGUGGAAGAUUCAAAUUGGCAAAACUUUUUAAUUGGUUCACUUCUACAGUGCAACACAUAAAAAGUUUAUGGAGGCAACAAUUCAUUAGAUGCUGCAGCAUCAGGCCAGAGCACCAACUAUUUAUAAUGCAGCCUGCCAUUCACACAUGCGGCCACAUCAGAAUGAGAUAUGAAAGUUCACCAAGUGGGUAGGUUUUCAUUAACCAUUCCAUUUCCCUUUGUAAAGUUGAGGGCCAUACAAAUAAUUCUUUCACCUUGGCUUUCCUAUGUAAAAUAAUAUGCAUAAUUAAGUGUACUAUUCAUGUACCAGAUGUAAUGGAAAGAUGAUUGACUCCAAUGCAAGUAAAUGUAUAAUACAGCAAACUCAUAGACGAUAUGAUUCUCUCUUCCUUGCCCUCUUUCUCUCCUUCUGCAACCUAUGGUUUCUCUGAACUGGCAGGAGUAGGGCUCACAGGGAUAAAAGAUGACACAUUGAUCUCAUUUCUGAUUCUUCGCAGGGUCAUUGAUUUGUGAGUACAGAAUUAGGAGGACUAGUUUAGGGACAUUUAGCCAUGUAUUCAAUGAGGAAAAAGGGCCAUAUCUCCCACGGGUCUAUGGAGAUGAGGGUUUUACUGACAUUGCAAAUGGUAAUAGAACCCAGAUUUUGGGAGACAUUGCUUUGCUAGAGUAACCUUGGGAGCAUGAACUUGUUUUUUUCUACUAUUUUCUUUUAAUAGAGAGGGGAAACAAUAUGAAAGGCUAGGUAUUAUACAAAAUCAACAGACAUUUGCUAGGACUUAGGAGCUCUAUUUCUUUUGUUAAAUGAACAUUUAAAGCUACCUGAUGACAGCUACUGUUAUGUCUCUUUCACCUCGCAGGAACGACGGUCGAGGGGUUGGGACGAAGGUGACUGGUGUGAUUCAGUCUGGUGGGACCGAUAGCCCAAGAGGAUCAGAACAUUGCUCAAGGUUUAAGUUAUUUCAAUAACGACUGACUCUACCUUUGAAUGAUGCUCAGCAAACAGGAAAACAGUGGGUGUCCCAUUUUGCCUUUUGCUUCUCAGUACCUUCAAGGGAUCAUGUCAUCAUUGGUGAGUGUGAGCAGCAUCUGAAUACUGACUUGGCAGACUCUUCUUCCUCUUUCCAUUUGAGGAAAACUGUGGCUCCUGGGCCAUCCAUUCUAGUUUUUAAAAAAAAUUUCAAGCAACUCCUACCAUAAGAACCUGAACUUCUAAGAUGUAAAUAUCGAUAAUAACAUGGAUCGGAAACAAGUUGUGAACAAAUUAGUCCACCUCUCUGACUUAGGCAAUUAAGCAGAAUCCAGUGCAUGUGGUGGUUGCAUGUGGCACUGUGGUUCUAACUACUGGAUGAAUCGGAAUUUGGC
rnacentral:lncRNA from 12 species